CACUUGGUCAAGAAAGCGUCCCCUUACCGACUCAACUCAUCACGUCCCCCUACCGUAGCUCACGUGACACCACGCACCUCUCGCUUAUGGCCGUCGUCGCCUUUCACAUCCAGUUUCAGUCCACCUAUUUUGCACCUGCUUCUCUGGGAAGACUUCACUGAGAAUCCAGGUGAUUUCUGGAUCCCUUCUCUCCCCUGAAGCUGUAAACUGUUUAACAAGACAUGUGCGGAACGGCCGUAAGGUGUCACUUGGUCAAGAAAGCGUCCCCUUACCGACUCAACUCAUCACGUCCCCCUACCGUAGCUCACGUGACACCACGCACCUCUCGCUUAUGGCCGUCGUCGCCUUUCACAUCCAG